rnacentral:rRNA from 1 species
GUGGGGAAUCUUCCACAAUGGGCGAGAGCCUGAUGGAGCAACGCCGCGUGUGUGAUGAAGGGUUUCGGCUCGUAAAACACUGUUGUAAGAGAAGAAUGACAUUGAGAGUAACUGUUCAAUGUGUGACGGUAUCUUACCAGAAAGGAACGGCUAAAUACGCGCCAG